AGUGAACGCUGGCGGUAGGCCUAACACAUGCAAGUCGAACGGCAGCACAGUAAGAGCUUGCUCUUACGGGUGGCGAGUGGCGGACGGGUGAGGAAUACAUCGGAAUCUACUUUUUCGUGGGGGAUAACGUAGGGAAACUUACGCUAAUACCGCAUACGACCUACGGGUGAAAGCAGGGGAUCUUCGGACCUUGCGCGAUUGAAUGAGCCGAUGUCGGAUUAGCUAGUUGGCGGGGUAAAGGCCCACCAAGGCGACGAUCCGUAGCUGGUCUGAGAGGAUGAUCAGCCACACUGGAACUGAGACACGGUCCAGACUCCUACGGGAGGCAGCAGUAGGGAAUAUUGGACAAUAGGCGCAAGCCUGAUCCAGCCAUACCGCGUGGGUGAAGAAGGCCUUCGGGUUGUAAAGCCCUUUUGUUGGGAAAGAAAAGCAGCAGGUUAAUACCCCGCUGUUCUGACGGUACCCAAAGAAUAAGCACCGGCUAACUUCGUG
rnacentral:rRNA from 1 species